UGGGCUUGAGCCAUGACUUGUUCACUUCCUGGACAUAUGAUUCUGGAUAAAUCAUGGCAGGAGCUCAGCCCCCAUGGGUUAGGCGUGACCACUGCUGUAGAAACUGGAGGCAUACUUUGCUUUGACUGCUGCUGACAGGCUCACCUUCCACCAUGACGGUAAGCUGACUGGUCACUGCCUCCCUCAUUAACUCUUUCUACUUCAUACGAUUAAAUAUCUUUGCCUGGGGCUGCUCAAAAUAAGCCUGUUCCUUCCGUUCCUGCUUAACAUGAUUUGGGAAGAAAAAGGUGGGUCUAAAUUCUCCCUAAAACCCAGGAGUUCCUGCCGGCUUUUUCUUGUAGAAAUACAAGGAGUUCUGCUACCCGCAUAAGAAGCUUCUAAGACAAUACUAAAAGAGAGGAAUUCAAAAUGUUCAUCUUUGGAGGAGGGAAAGCAAUGUUCCCAAAAAUGAAGAAACCUGAAUUCUAACCUGGCUCUGACACUCCUGCUCUGCAGCUUCUGAGAAGUCAUUUGCCUCUGGAGGCUUCAGUGUUCCCUUUUGUAAAAUGGGAGCAAUUGAAUAAGAGUGUCCCUUAACUUUUCCAGACUUAACAUUAAAAGACCGAAUGUGAUCACUAAGAAGGACUAGAUUAUUUUAAGAAUCUUAGUGUAUAGUGUCA
rnacentral:lncRNA from 1 species